UCCUGUUAUAAAUUCGUAUGGUUAAUCUUUAAUAUUAUUGCAACAACUAUUAAACAUAAAUCUGAUUUUUACUGGACUUGUUUGGGUGUUAUGAUUUAUUUUCAGACAAUUCACAUAGAAUAUGAAUCGAUAAGCUCUAUAAAAGAGGUCUUUGUUUUUAGAAAACUGAGACUUGCUGACUGGUAAGAAAAGCUUACAAACUUGCGAAUGGAAAUUGGGAAUUCUAAUUGGCAUUACUGAUUGACGAUAGUAGUAAUGACAGCAAUUGGUAUAAGAAUCAAAUCACAGAAUGAGGGGUAAAGAUAGUGAUCUGUAUUAAAAAAAUGCUGUAAACUACCCAAUUGCAUACUUACUACUUGAACCUGUGACCUUGGGAGGUUCAAACCUCUUGAAUGGCACCGUGACAGCUUGGGUGGUUGGUGCGACUGUUGUCGUUACUGGAAUACCCCAUUUUCAUGCAACAUCGAUGCAAACGUAAACAGUGAAUAUUUAUAAAUAUCAAAUUUUACGAAUUAAAAAUAAAUUCUUGCACCCCUUGAAUGAAAUCCAAUACAAAGAAAUAAUAAAACCAAUGGAUAGAUGAGACGUAAUGAUAAUCCGUGGCAUUCACACCAGCCCUCAUUAGUAAAGUUCUAAUUUUUGUCACGCCAUGGGUGGUGAUGAAAAUGAUACGGAUUA
rnacentral:lncRNA from 1 species